GCGUUUGUAGUUCAAUGGUUAGUAUAAUUGAUUUUCAAGUAAUAGACCCGGGGUUCGACUCCCGACAGACGCA
rnacentral:tRNA from 1 species